GAUCUUUGGGAGCAAAGCAGGUGCCCACAAAGGGGACAGAAGCUAAGGUUUCCUAUUCUAUGACUCCUCAAAAGGAGAAUGCAGGGUAAUGUUUUGGAUUCUCUACUAUGUAUGAAUGCAUUUUCCACUGCCUGCAUGCAUUUGUGCAGUUAUGUAAUAGUUGUAUUGGUCUUGUUCAUUGAUGUUGCAUUUAUUUAUGUGUCUGGAAAUGUUCACUUCCAUUUAGCUUUGAAGUUUAGUUUACUCUUUAUUUAACAAUAGAAAUAUGGAAGGAAAUUAAAUUGAGUGUUAAAAAGCCCAAAUGGGGAGUAUAUUUAUUCUUUUCAGGAAAUAUGCAUUUUGAUUUUUGUUUUCUUGUUAAAUGGUUUUCAUUUACAAACUUUUGCCUUCUUGUAAGUCUGAACUUUAGUCAAUGUGUUAUUUACCUUAUUUCUAUUUUAUGUCACCAGUACCAAUUAGGUAGCUUUUAAUGUAAUCUAGACUCAGUUAUCUGUACAAUAACCUGAGAAUCUCAACAGCCCUCUCCCUCAAUUGGUGUUACCUCCUUUUUUCAAACCCAUGAAUAUGGAAGGUCAUCCUCUUGCCGUCUAUAAAUGGCUCAUUCCAAUUCAUCAUCUCAAUAUUCCUUUUACUUAUGCUCAUUUAUGGAUGUGCUACAAAUCAUGAAUAGCUAUGUACUAUGAAGCAAUUCAUGGAAAGUUUCCUGCAACUUACAGGUCUGCUCGACAGACAAAAUUUAACACUCACAUCUUUACAUAAUUUAUAUAGUCAUCAUAAAUUAAUAAUGCAGACAAGGCUUUGAAUCAAUGUAUUGUAGUGCCCCUAAGCUAAUACAAACACCAAAAAGAUUGCUUCUGACUUCCUUUUCUACUGAGUUCAGAGUUGCAUUGAAUGUUUUUGAUAUUUCUUUCAAAGCUGCCAGUAUGGAUAAAAAAAUUGGCAAGGCAGGCCCGUCUUCUUUUGGCUUGAAAAGUGAUAAAAGGGCAGAGAAAAGGAAAGAGU
rnacentral:misc_RNA from 1 species